CGCCUCCCUCCGCCGCCACUCACGACUCCGUACGGGACGGCGAGCAGGUGGGAAGUAGUUGGACAAGUACGGGGAAACCCGUGAUCCAGCGACGCCGCGUGUGUGAAGAAGGCUGCGGUUGUAAGCACUUUAGUGGGACAAAAGCUACGGAUUAAUACUCUGUGGUCUUGAUUUAACCCAAACGAAAACGCACCGGCUAACUCUGUGCCAGCAGCCGCGGUAAUAC
rnacentral:rRNA from 1 species